UGUCGGGUAGAGAAUACCAAGGCGCUUGAGAGAACUCGGGUGAAGGAACUAGGCAAAAUGGCACCGUAACUUCGGGAGAAGGUGCGCCGGCUAGGGUGAAGGAUUUACUCCGUAAGCUCUGGCUGGUCGAAGAUACCAGGCCGCUGCGACUGUUUAUUAAAAACACAGCACUCUGCAAACACGAAAGUGGACGUAUAGGGUGUGACGCCUGCCCGGUGCCGGAAGGUUAAUUGAUGGGGUUAGCGCAAGCGAAGCUCUUGAUCGAAGCCCCGGUAAACGGCGGCCGUAACAAUAACGGUCCUAAGGUAGCGAAAUUCCUUGUCGGGUAAGUUCCGACCUGCACGAAUGGCGUAACGAUGGCGGCGCUGUCUCCACCCGAGACUCAGUGAAAUUGAAAUCGCUGUGAAGAUGCAGUGUAUCCGCGGCUAGACGGAAAGACCCCGUGAACCCUUACUGUAGCUUUGCACUGGACUUUGAGCCUGCUUGUGUAGGAUAGGUGGGAGGCUUUGAAGCGUGGACGCCAGUUCGCGUGGAGCCAUCCUUGAAAUACCACCCUGGCAUGCUUGAGGUUCUAACUCUGGUCCGUAAUCCGGAUCGAGGACAGUGUAUGGUGGGCAGUUUGACUGGGGCGGUCUCCUCCUAAAGAGUAACGGAGGAGUACGAAGGUGCGCUCAGACCGGUCGGAAAUCGGUCGCAGAGUAUAAAGGCAAAAGCGCGCUUGACUGCGAGACAGACACGUCGAGCAGGUACGAAAGUAGGUCUUAGUGAUCCGGUGGUUCUGUAUGGAAGGGCCAUCGCUCAACGGAUAAAAGGUACUCCGGGGAUAACAGGCUGAUACCGCCCAAGAGUUCAUAUCUACGGCGGUGUUUGGCACCUCGAUGUCGGCUCAUCACAUCCUGGGGCUGAAGCCGGUCCCAAGGGUAUGGCUGUUCGCCAUUUAAAGUGGUACGCGAGCUGGGUUUAGAACGUCGUGAGACAGUUCGGUCCCUAUCUGCCGUGGACGUUUGAGAUUUGAGAGGGGCUGCUCCUAGUACGAGAGGACCGGAGUGGACGAACCUCUGGUGUUCCGGUUGUCACGCCAGUGGCAUUGCCGGGUAGCUAUGUUCGGAAAAGAUAACCGCUGAAAGCAUCUAAGCGGGAAACUUGCCUCAAGAUGAGAUCUCACUGGGAACUUGAUUCCCCUGAAGGGCCGUCGAAGACUACGACGUUGAUAGGCUGGGUGUGUAAGCGUUGUGAGGCGUUGAGCUAACCAGUACUAAUUGCCCGUGAGGCUUGACC
rnacentral:rRNA from 1 species